ensembl:miRNA
UCCAUAAAGUAGAGAGUACUACUAAACUCCUCUGCACAGUGUAGUGUUUCCUACUUUAUGGAU